rnacentral:rRNA from 1 species
UACGUAGGGUGCGAGCGUUAAUCGGAAUUACUGGGCGUAAAGCGUGCGCAGGCUGUUUUGUAAGCCAGAUGUGAAAUCCCCGGGCUUAACCUGGGAAUGGCAUUUGGGACUGCAAGGCUUGAGUGCGGCAGAGGAGACUGGAAUUCCUGGUGUAGCAGUGAAAUGCGUAGAUAUCAGGAGGAACACCGAUGGCGAAGGCAGGUCUCUGGGCUGACACUGACGCUCAUGCACGAAAGCGUGGGGAGCAAACAGG